AGUUCCAACCCUGGGCAGCCCUAAGUAAGAGUCAUCAGAAGCUUCCAGGCAAUUGUCACUGAAAAAUAAGUGCUAUAGCACUACCUCAGCUGCUGCAACCACAGACCUCAUUCAGAAAUCUUUAUUGUAUUAACCCUUGUGUGUCCGGAAUUGGUGGGUUCUUGGUCUCACUGACUUCAAGAAUGAAGCCUGGGACACUCACGGAAGGCUAAAGCUCUAUAACCAUUGAAAGCUGGCUGGGGGAAAAGAAGAAGAGGCAAAAAGAUCAACUGAAGAAUAAACUGCUGUCAUUGGCACAAAAGAAUACCACAAAGAUUAUUUACAAAACUCGAAUCAGGAGUAGAACAGACCUCCAUGUGGAAGUUCAAUUAUGCUAAGAGGAAAGAGGAAAGGGGAAGAGUUUACAGAAAUAAAUUAAUGAUGAUGAUAAACUA